GCAGCCGGUUUCUCAAGAUCUCAACACAGGCGAAAUGCGCAGACAGACGAGUGCGCCUGCGUUUUCUUCCCGGGUCUAGUACCCUGGCUCAGAGCUCGCGAGAGCCGCGAAUGCGCCUGCCGCCUCUCCACGGCUCCAGUCACUAAGUCGUGUACAACUCUUUGUGACUCCAUGGACUGUGAGGAAGGAGGAAACAGACAGAACAGGCUCCAUCUUGAAAGCAGGACUCCAUCUUGGACUGGACUGUGAACUUUGAGCUAUAUGCCCAGAUCUAUGGAAAUGGCAUACCAACUGGACAACCAGACCCCCACCCCCUCAGCCAAUGGAACAGCCCCAGGGCUCAUGCCUAGACUCACUGUCGCCUAAAAGAAUACCCUAAUUAUCUGUGUAACCAAAUAGAAUCAUAAAUUCUAUUAUGCUUAUUGGGCUAUGACCACAGGUCUAUUGAUAGUUGUCCACUGUUAACUACCUAGGCUUAAGGCUUAUGAAUCACAGGUUAACUUUGAUUGUAUCUUUCUUUUUCUUUGUUGAGGCUAGUUUUGGGGAAUGUGGGGAGGUGGGUUUGGGCACGUACACUUAGGGUAUAUAAGGUUUUCACAAUAACUGGUCAAGGUCCUUGGCUAAGAGGAGACUCUGCCUUGGGCCUGCUGGUGUAAUAAACCACUCCACUACCUG